rnacentral:rRNA from 1 species
CAGUAGCCGCGGUAAUACGUAGGGUGCGAGCGUUAAUCGGAAUUACUGAGCGUAAAGCGUGCGCAGGCGGUUCGUUAAGACAGAUGUGAAAUCCCCGGGCUUAACCUGGGAACUGCAUUUGUGACUGGCGAGCUAGAGUAUGGCAGAGGGGGGUAGAAUUCCACGUGUAGCAGUGAAAUGCGUAGAGAUGUGGAGGAAUACCGAUGGCGAAGGCAGCCCCCUGGGCCAAUACUGACGCUCAUGCACGAAAGCGUGGGGAGCAAACAGGAUUAGAUACCCCCGUAGUCCCUGUCCUUAUACC